rnacentral:rRNA from 1 species
AGGGUUUGAUCCUGGCUCAGAACGAACGCUGGCGGCAGGCCUCAUACAUGCAAGUCGAGCGGUCCUUCGGGACAGCGGCGAACGGGCUAGUAACGCGUGGGAACGUGCCCUUUAGUACGGAAUAGCCAUUGGAAACGAUGAUUAAUACCGUAUACGCCCCAAGGGGGAAAGAUUUAUCGCUAAAGGAUCGGCCCGCGUUAGAUUAGGUAGUUGGUAGGGUAACGGCCUACCAAGCCGACGAUCUAUAGCUGGUUUGAGAGGAUGAUCAGCAACACUGGGACUGAGACACGGCCCAGACUUCUACGGAAGGCAGCAGUAGGGAAUCUUGGACAAUGGGCGAAAGCCUGAUCCAGCCAUGCCGCGUGAGUGAUGAAGGCCCUAGGGUUGUAAAGCUCUUUCGCCAGGGAAGAUAAUGACGGUACCUGGUAAAGAAACCCCGGCUAACUCCGUGCCAGCAGCCGCGGUAAUUC